rnacentral:rRNA from 1 species
GACGAACGCUGGCGGCGUGCUUAACACAUGCAAGUCGAACGGAAAGGCCCCCUUGUGGGGUACUCGAGUGGCGAACGGGUGAGUAACACGUGAGUAACCUACCCUUGCCUUUGGGAUAACUUCAGGAAACUGGGGCUAAUACCGGAUAGGAGCUCCUGCUGCAUGGUGGGGGUUGGAAAGUUUCGGCGGUUGGGGAUGGACUCGCGGCUUAUCAGCUUGUUGGUGGGGUAGUGGCUCACCAAGGCUUUGACGGGUAGCCGGCCUGAGAGGGUGACCGGCCACAUUGGGACUGGGAUACGGCCCAGACUCGUACGGGAGGCAGCAGUGGGGAAUAUUGCACAAUGGGCGGAAGCCUGAUGCAGCAACGCCGCGUGCGGGAUGACGGCCUUCGGGUUGUAAACCGCUUUCGCCUGUGACGAAGCGUGAGUGACGGUAAUGGGUAAAGAAGCACCGGCUAACUACGUG